rnacentral:rRNA from 1 species
UACAGAGGUCCCAAGCGUUGUUCGGAUUCACUGGGCGUAAAGGGUGCGUAGGUGGUGAGGUAAGUCGGAUGUGAAAGCUCGGAGCUUAACUCCGAAACUGCAUUCGAUACUGCCGUGCUUGAGGACUGGAGAGGAGACUGGAAUUUACGGUGUAGCGGUGAAAUGCGUAGAUAUCGUAAGGAAGACCAGUGGCGAAGGCGGGUCUCUGGACAGUUCCUGACGCUGAGGCACGAAGGUCAGGGGAGCAAACGGG